rnacentral:rRNA from 1 species
GACGAACGCUGGCGGCGUGCUUAACACAUGCAAGUCGAACGGAAAGGCCCUGCUUUUGUGGGGUGCUCGAGUGGCGAACGGGUGAGUAACACGUGAGUAACCUGCCCUUGACUUUGGGAUAACUUCAGGAAACUGGGGCUAAUACCGGAUAGGAGCUCCUGCUGCAUGGUGGGGGUUGGAAAGUUUCGGCGGUUGGGGAUGGACUCGCGGCUUAUCAGCUUGUUGGUGGGGUAGUGGCUUACCAAGGCUUUGACGGGUAGCCGGCCUGGGAGGGUGACCGGCCACAUUGGGACUGAGAUACGGCCCAGACUCCUACGGGAGGCAGCAGUGGGGAAUAUUGCACAAUGGGCGGAAGCCUGAUGCAGCAACGCCGCGGGCGGGAUGACGGCCUUCGGGUUGUAAACCGCUUUCGCCUGUGACGAAGCGUGAGUGACGGUAAUGGGUAAAGAAGCACCGGCUAACUAC